rnacentral:misc_RNA from 1 species
GGAAGUAAAAGUCGUAGCAAGGUUUCCGUAGGUGAGCCUGCGGAAGGAUCAUUAUUGUAUAACCGAGGUGCGAGGGCUGUCGCUGACCCGAAAGGUCGUGCACGCCCGAGUGCCCUCACACACAUCCAUCUCACCCCUAUGUGCACCACCGCGUGGGUCCCCCUUUGGCUUGUUCGGAGGGGGGCUUACGUUUUCACACAAACUUUGUAUGCAGUGUAGAAUGUAUUUUUUGUUUUUGCGAUCACGCAAUCAAUACAACUUUCAACAACGGAUCUCUUGGCUCUC